rnacentral:lncRNA from 1 species
AAGAGUCCUUUGGGAAAACGAUACUCGGACUUACCCGUUUAUAUUACUUGAUAACGAUCUGGUACACUUGCCAGGGACUUAACACUGGGCUAUCAAGAAAAAUUAGUUUUUCUGGAAUAGAAAAUCCUUGAGUUAAGAGAGUUUAAAUCAUAUACUUUAAAUUUCAAGCACACUCUCUUUUUAACCAAUCUCACUCUUUCCCAAUUUCUUCCCUUUUUCAUUUUUUUACAUUGAGUUCACUUUACAUGUUUUUUCUCUUUUCUUCUUUUCUUUUCUUUCUCAUGCGUUUUUCUUUUUCAUCUUUUGAACUUAAUGCUUUUGCUUUUGCCUUUUACUUUCCCCAUACAACCCCAAACUUGAACCUUUUCAACAAAUACAAUUAUUCUUAACCCUAACUCAAGGUAAAUCAAUUCAAACAAGGGUUUUCAUACUGU